AUACUUGUGUCUGGUUUGAGUAAC
rnacentral:siRNA from 1 species